CAAAUAGAGAAAAUGAGGGAGCAAGCUAAGAAAAAGAAGUCAAAGAUGGUUAUUGAUGAAAAUGGAGAUGUUGACUUCCCUAUAAUUCUAACUCACAUUCAGAACAGAACUUUGAGGCCAGGUCUUGACCCAACACAGGUUGAAGACAGCAUGAUACAUAUUUUAUCACAUGAGGUACUUGUGCCACAAUUUCACAAUAUUCUAUUCCUUAAAAUUGCAUUUUCAUGAAAAACUGACAUUACCGUUGUUUCUUUGUAUAGGGAACAACACAAGGAAUUCCUGUUACUAGGAUACACCAAAUUCCCAAGGAAAGUGCAUUUGUAGUUGAGCACAGGGCCAACAUAGCAGCUAGAGGAAGAGGAGUUAGAGGAGCUGCUGCUUCUGCACAAGCACCAGGCAGAGGAAGAGGAGCUGGAAGAGGUGCUGGUUCUGAACAAGCACAAGGCAGAGGAAGAGGAGCUGGAAGAGCUAGUGCUUCUGCACAAGCACCAGGCAGAGGAAGAGGAGCUGGAAGAGGUACUUCUUCUGCACAAACACAAGUCAGAGUGAGAGGAACAAGAGGAAGAAGAGGAACAAGAAACAAGAAAACAAAAACAAAGGGACUGAAGUGGCUGCUACUUGGAGAAGGGUCUAGCAGAACCACACAUGUUCCAGCAGAUGAAGAAUGAGUUGGAGAAGUGCUUGCUACAAUGCAUUUGUUUUGGUAUUUUGUAACUUAAGUACUACUACUAUGUACUGAACUAGUUGGUGUGGUCUUUUGCAUGCUAUCAGUCUGUGUAAACUUGUUGAUGUAAGACAGCAAGCAUAUGUGAGAGUAGACUGGUUCAACUUGACUGGUUCAA